GAGGAACUGGACGCGGGACGGCAAGCCCCCCGCGGGAGGAGGGGCUGCGCCGAGGGCGGCUGCCCUGCGGCCGGAUGGCGCGCGCCUGGGAGGGGUGGCGGGCGGCGGGCGGAAGCGGCGGACCCCAGCCCCCGACGCCGCGUCGGCAGCUUAAAAUGACAGGACGCGAGAACUCGAGUGACAUCCGGGGGCAGCCCGCUCCGGGCCGGCGUUUUCAGGGCGCAGCUUCAAACCCACCUCCGACGCCGGGCCCUCGGAAACCUCUCCAGCGUCUCCGAACCCGCCGCCCCUGUUCAGACUCCUCUACAGCCCUUUUCAGACUGUCCUAGAAUUAUUUGUUUACCUGGCUGCUUCUCUUUACUCUUUUGGGAGAUCCUUUUUGGAAGACGAGACCGGGCCCUGUUUAUCUUUUGAAUCCCAUGGCUAUUUGAGUACGCUAUCUGGUAUACAGUAGGCGCUUAAUAAAUAGUUGUUGGCUGAGGGAAUAUUUCUCACUGCCAGACGAACUGGAGGCCAAGACAGAUGAUAUUCAGAGGGUCAAAGCCGCUGAAAGAAGGGAGACUCAGCGUUCUGGGACGUCAGCGCACUAUACUUGUUUACGCACCAACCUCGGAAGGAAGAACUGCCUGUUUCUGUUUCCUCCUCUGAAAUGGAAGUAGUUCUAUUUAUCUACCAGGAGUUUGCUAUUAGAGGAAAUUAUAGGUUGAUAGAUAAAACUAUAGCACCUGGCACCCAUUCGGACCCAGUUAAGUCUACCACACCUGGGAGCUGACAUGAUUAAUUUCCACUUUCCCUGAGCCAAAGAGAACUUUUACAAUAUUGUAUCAUUUAAGCUUUCAAACUUAGUGACUGCUACAAACACAUAAUUUAAAACUCCAAACAUCGGUAGAUUUCUCCCUCACUUUUCACUCCCAGGAAUUCUCUCUCACAGCACGCUGUUCCCUUCCAGCACGGCGACAAUCACAACUUCUAAUUAUUAUUUGUUUGCUUCACUGUUUGUCUCCGCCCCCAACUCCCCCGACCUCCUCCCCCACUAGACAUUCUUUACCCCAGACUGGUUUAAGUGCUCCUGGGAAUGGGAUGGGGGUGGCGGCGGAGUUGAAGAUAAGGCUUCUGCUUUUAGGGAAUUGAAAGUGGUGCUGUGGAGACAAGAUACCCCAAACAACUCCGCGGCAACGUCACCGCUGAUCCUGGUUCAGAUGGUAAAAAGCAAAGAAAAUAUUUGCUUUAAGAGCAUUUUGAAGA